CCCAGAGAUUGUCAACAAUAGAGAAACAUCACGGAAGACAAAAAACCCACAGGCACUUUGAGUCCACCAGUCAACAGCCUAUACUGAUUGCUGGUGGGGUUCCCUGUAUCCAGCGAGGAAGACAGAAUGCAAAGCCAAGAAAGAAAUGAAUGUUGGAUUUUGCCAAAGCUUCUUCCACAUCUACUGAGGUCCUUGCAUUUUCAAGAUCAUCCAUCUGUAAUCUUCACACCUGAACUGAAACGAGCCAGGUAUAAAUAUUCUUAUUGAUAUUUUCUUUCUCUCUCAACAGUCUAGAUACUCUUCCACUGUCCUCUGGCACUGAAAGGUUGUGUGGAAAAGUUCUGAAACCAGUCUGAUGUUUAGUUCAUUGUUUAGUUCAUUUUUUCCCUUGAAUCCUGAAUAUUUAAUUAUCCCUAAGAAUCAGUAACUUUGCCUUAUGUAGAUUGAUAUUUAUGGAACAUGGUGCACCUUUCCAUUUUCAGAUGUUAAAACUUACUAAUUUCUUUAUAGUGGAAAAGUUGACGGGGGGUUGUUUUCUCAUUAUAUCUUGGAAUAUUUUUCGGUGUUUUUUUAAAAUCCAGAAAAGGUUAAUUGUUUUUUAUAUUGACCAUGUUUUCUGUAAAUUCUUUCAUGCUUUAUCUUUUUUCUUUGCAUUAUCCGAGUUAUUUCCAGCCUGUUUGUCAUUGGUUUAAUUUUCAACAAUGCCUACCUCACUAUUUUUUAUUAGUUCCAAUAUUAUGUCUUUUUAUACUCAAUUCAUUUCCCUAGUUCUCCCAUACUAUUCUCUGGUCUGUUAUCUUUUCAUCUUUGAGUUUUGGUUUUAUAUAGUCUAUACACUUUAUAAUUUCUUUAAAAAUGCAAAGCAUUAGUUGUGAAUGUUUUUCUUUUGUUUUCUAGGGCGUGUUCUCAUUUAGAGUACUACGCAUGAGAAGGUCAUUUAUUUCAUUUUUUAAAUAAUCAUAGGAACUUCUCAUAGUUGUUAUCCUGUCUCUUCUCAUUUCACUCAUAUUAGACAAGGCAGCUCUUCUCUUUGCCCAUGUGUGAGCUCUCCUUGAAUCUCUUCUUAUCUGCGAUCUAAGAGUGUUGUCUUACCUUCAGAUGGUCAACGUGAAGAAUGGGUAUUGAUAGGUCACACUCACUCUGCUCUUUGUUUAUCUGAGAUUGAGAAGCUAGAGAGAGGAAGCUAUGGGCAGUUAGGAAGAAGUUGGUCUCUUCUCUAUUUUCCUAUUGAUUUUAUAAAAUCCUGUUCUGUAUUUUGUUUUUUCUAGUGAAAUGUUGACUUCUCUCCUUAAUUCAGAGUGAGCUGCUGAAUCUUCCCUCUACAAAAUAUCACUCAUUCUUACUAGGCUUUAUUCCUCUUUCCACUGAAUAUUGAGCUUCUAAGUUCAAAUGGGAGUCUUUCAGGCUAGCCAUUAACUUUUCCUGUUCUGUAAAUGCCAAGAUAAAAUAUUAUGAGAGAUUAAAUUAGUAAAUCUAGUUAGAUUUUUUCUUAUAAUGAAAAUACAAGCUGGAAAAUUGGAGAAUGCUGUACAACCCUUCCAAACUCCAACAUGUUCAUAAGCUCAACUUUCUUAAAUUGAUAUUAAUAUUGUCAUUUCUUACUAACAAGGACUGCAGAUAAGCUUUAGGGACUCUUUUUUCCUUUCUUUCUUUUUAUUUCAACCUGUUGACAUAUAGGCAACAUGUCCACUAUACCAUGAUUUUAAGUGCUCCUUUCAAAUUCAUAUCUAGCCCUUCUUCCUAACCCAUUUUGGGGGUAAAAAGUUGCUGAGUUCAAAGUCCUAACAUCCUAAAGGACUUCUUUCUAAAUUAAGUGCCAUAAAGUUCUUAUCAAAGAAUAUAUGGAUUUACGCUAUCAAAGGCUUCCAUAGAAACCUCUAAUUUGACUCAAAUGAAAAGUUUAGUCCUUUUAAAAUGAAAACAUUAAAGCAAUAAGGUGAAAGCAUCACUUCCAUUGAUUUAGUAACCAGUGACUUCUAAGUGACUUUUAAAUUUGAAUCUCUUUUAAAAACCAGAAACAGGCCGGGCACGGUGGUUCACACCUGUAAUCCCAGCACUGUGGGAGGCCAAGGCGGGUGGAUCACGAGGUUAGGAGAUCGAGACCAUCCUGGCUAACACAGCGAAACCCUGUCUCUACUAAAAAUAAAAAAAACUAACCGGGAGUGGUGGUGGGUGCCCGUAGUCCCAGCUACUCAGGAGGCUGAGGCAGGAGAAUGGUGUGAACCCGGGAGGCGGAUCUUACAGUGAGUCGAGAUCGCGCCACUGCACUCCGGCCUGGGCAACAGAGCGAGACUCUGUCUCAAAAAAAUAAAUAAAUAAAAAUAAAAACCAGAAACAUACUGGCAAAUUCCGGUAGUCUACCUUUAUAUGGACACUGUAUUCUCACUUCAAAUCCAGUAGGGCCAAAAGAAAACUCAUAUUCUCCCUGUUGAACUGGUGUCUUUUUCUGAUUCGUCAUCUAUAACAUUUCUGCCAUUAUAUAUACACAAUGAAGCUUAACAAUCUUCUUUAUUUCUCCCUUUAUCAAAGAGUUCAUUGGUUAAUCAGUCACUCAGUUCUAAAGAUUUUUCUCCACCUUGGGAAUUAAAUCAUAUUUCUUCCUGUCCGUUCACACACACAUACCACUGAGAAAUGCGAGCCCAGGUUACUUUUCUCCCAAUCUCCCAAGCUAUCUUAAUAACAGCCAAUCUCCUCAUGAUUAGGCUCUCACUUUGCCAUCCCAAUUAAAGUUUUGACCAUGUCACCACCAACUUAAAAAACGUUCCAUGGUUCUCCAAUACCUUCUCAACCUCCUUUUGUUGUUUCAAUAUCCCCCACGAUCUGGUCCAAUCUCCCUGUCAACAUCAUCUCACAAAAGUAUACACAGUCAAGCCACAAUGCUUUAUUCACUAUUCUCCAACCACAUUUCAUGUCUUUCAUGAUGACACUUCUUCUGUCGAGGCUCCUGUGUUUAUUGCCACACUAUUCACAGUAGGAAAGAUAUGAAUCAACACGUGUGUUCAUCAGGCCCGGCGCAGUGGCUCACGCCUGUAAUCCCAGCACUUUGGGAGGACAAGACUGGCGGCUCACGAGGUCAGGAGAUCGAGACCAUCCUGGCUAACACGGUGAAACCCCGUCUCUACUAAAAAUAAAAAAAAAAUUAGCCAGGCUUGGUGGUGGGCGCCUGUAGUCCCAGCUACUCGGGAGUCUGAGACCGGAGAAUGGCGUGAACCUGGAGGUGGAGCUUGCAGUGAGCCGAGAUCACGCCACUACAAUCCAGCCUGGGCGACAGAGCAAGACUCCGUCUCAAAAAAAAAAAAAAAGUGUUCAUCAAUGGAUAAUGAGAUAAACAAAAUGUGGUGUGUGUGCGCGCACACACACACACACACACACACACACAGCCAUGUAAAAAGAAUGAAAUCCUGUCUUUUGCCGCAAUAUGGAUGGAACUGCAGGCCAUUACCUUAAGUGGAAUAACUCAGAAACACGAAGACAAAUACCGCAUGUUCUCACUUAGAAGUGGGAGCUGAACAGUGUAUACACAUGGACAUACAGUGUGGAAUAAUAGACACUGGAGAUUCGAAAGGGUGGCAGGGUGGGAAGGAGGUGAAGAAUAAGAAAUUAUUUAAUGGCUACAAUACACACUGUUGGAGUGACAGUUACACUAAAAGCCCAGGCUGCACCACUAAAUUAAAUAUCCAUGUAACAAAAUUGCACUUUCAACCCUUAAAUGUGUACAAAUAAAAAAAAGAACAUUUCUAUUCUUUCCUCUCCUGCUUCAUUUCUACAUGUUAAAUCCUAUUUAGCAUUCAAGUCUUGGAUCAAAUAUGCUGCUACAAAGCCUUCUUUGGGAUUCCG
rnacentral:lncRNA from 10 species